UGGAACGUGUGGCAAAUGGAUUGCAAGGGGGAGGGAUUGGAGCCACAGAAGGAGUGAAGGGUUAUUCUAAUAAUACAGCCUCGAAAUCCUGACAGCCAGUGAUGCAUGAGUCUUCUAAUACUCCUUUUGGCCUUUAAAUCCAUGCUUUAGUUGUUGCCUUCCUUGAAGACAUGGCUGGGGGUGUCAUCUUAGUAUUUACAACCAUCAGUUAGGAUUACAUUGACAGCAUCUAGUGGGAGGGAGAGUCCACUAGACCCCAUGGCUGGAAAUCUGAAGAAAGAAAGCUGGCAUGCGUUAUAAAAUCACAAGAAUAGCCAGCACCAUCUCCACAGGCUGUGGAACCCCGCGCGAUACCAAGGGGAUUGGAGCAAGCAAGUUACACUCUCUGCUUCUCUUUCUAAGAAGCAUCACUCUGGCUGCUGAGUGGAAAGGAGAUUUUAAGACUGCUGUUGGGGAAGGAGGAAGACCAGUUGGGAGGCUGCUGCAUCUUCAGCUCCCGAUUACUCAUGGCUUCAGACUUCCAUCAAUUUAAUAAAAACAAAACAAUGGAGUGAAGACUGAAAAAUUACCUAUUGAGUACCAUGUUCACUGUUUGGAUGAUGGGUACACUGAAAACCCAGACUUCAUCAGCAUGCAGUAUAUGCAUCUAAAAGCUCUGCACUAAAUAUUUGUGAAAAAGAAGACAAAACAGGCAAUAAAAUAAUUCUGACAUAUUAAAACAGCCAGCCUAUAACUCAGUUCAAAAUAUUCGAGCAAAGCUGAGGUCUUUGGGUAGUUGGUAGGGUGAGUAAUAACUGAAUGGGGUGACAAUGAGGAGAGUCAGGAGGGCUAAACAUGGCUUCCACCUCUUGCCAAAGCCUGGUGUGGCUGCAGCCGAACCAUUUCGUGCCUCCUAUCCUUGAGGAGGGUGGAGACCACCAUUCAGAUAGGAAGAUGGAUCAUACUUCUCAUAUGGCAUCUGCGCCAUUUGCUUUUCUGGUUUCCAAGGCAUCUGGAUCCUAUCCUCAAUUAUCAAUGUAAGAUAACGGUGCUCUUGUUUUUCUUCUGAGAGUUUCACCUAGAAUUGUUGCCCAUUUAGUACCCACAUUAUGUGGUGAGAGAAGUGCCAUCUAGGGGUGACUGUCCAAAGUCCCACAUCCCAUCCACCCCUGUAAGCACUCUGAGACCUGUGAUCUUAGCAGACCAUCAGAAGGCAAAUUUCUUGAAAGAUAUUCAUUUGUUUUCUUACAUAAUUACCUUCCUUGGAUUGCAUUUUGAGAAUCAUGCCCUUGGCUUUAAUUAAACGUGCUAGAAACAGUCAUGCAGAGUUCACUGCUACAUUUGCAGAAGAACUAUGGUCGCAGACACCAUCCUAUACCAUUCUGGAAAAGCCUUUUCCAAGUGUGUUUUGUGGAGUGCAAGUCUGCAAGACACUAAUAAAAAUGUCACUAUGUGCCGGGCACGGUGGCUCACCCCUGUAAUCUCAGCACUUUGGGUGGCUGAGACGGGCGGAUCACCUGAGAUCAGGAGCUCCAGACCAGCCUGGCCAACAUGGCGAAACCCAGUCUCUACUAAAAAUACAAAAAAAUUAGCCGGGUGUGGGGGUGGGCGCCUGUAAUCCCAGCUGCUGAGGAGGCUGAAGCAGGAGAAUUGCUUGAACCCAGGAGGCAGAGGUUGCAGUGAGCACUCUAGCCUGGGCGAG
rnacentral:lncRNA from 1 species